rnacentral:rRNA from 1 species
UACGAAGGGGGCUAGCGUUGUUCGGAAUUACUGGGCGUAAAGCGCGCGCAGGCGGUUCUUCAAGUCAGUGGUGAAAGCCCGGAGCUCAACUCCAGAACUGCCUUCGAUACUGGGAAGCUCGAGUCCGGGAGAGGUGAGUGGAACUGCGAGUGUAGAGGUGAAAUUCGUAGAUAUUCGCAGGAACACCAGUGGCGAAGGCGAGUCCCUGGACAACACCUGACACUGAGGCACGAAAGCUAGGGGAGCAAACAGG